UGCGGUUGUAACCAUGACUCUUUCUUAUACAACUGUAUGUUGUCUUAAAGAAAUAAAGUGAUUCGAUUUGAAAAGUAUCCCCAAUAUCUGUGUUGUAAAAAAUUGGUUAGAGUAUUACUUCGUUCUCUUCAUUUAUGCGAAUUGCUGAUAUUAACACUCUCAUAAAAACUGAUAUAUGUCUACAUUCGAUAGUAGCAAUAAUAAUUGGAAUCACAGUUAUUAUACUUUUCAACAUGGUUUUAAAAAAACAAGACAGAAGUGAAUUACUACUUUUAAUCUCUUACCCCGUUCAAAUAUGUAUUAUUGCCUUUGGAGCAAUAACAGGUGGCCAAGGAAUUAUGGAACAAGACGAAACGAUUUUAAAAAAUUUGUAUGGAUGUCCUUGGUAUACAUGGAAUUCGAAAAACAAAAAAACAUUUCUGCUCUUGAUGACAAUAACUGGAAAACCUGCAGGAAUUUAUUUCACAAAUAAUAUUGCUCUCAAUAACGUUUUGUAUUUAAGUAUUCUGAAAGGAAUAUAUACGUUUGGAGCUGUUAUGGUAUGAUUAUGGAACAGUGCAAAGGAGUAGUAUGACCACAAAUAACUGCACUUUGUACGAAAUCAAUGGAGAAUAAAUGUCAAAAAUAUGAGAGCACAAUAUAUCACAAUAUAACACUAUGCUCUAAUUUAUAUUUCAACACCGUUUCAAAUUCUUCAGGAUAUUGAAAUAAAAAUCACAUCCUUAGCACAACUAGAAUUGAUGUAAAAUGCACGAUGAUUGAUAUAUGUAUAUGUACUGAUGUUAUUUGAAACAAAUUUUGAUCGCUGAA